rnacentral:lncRNA from 1 species
GCUCGUCAUCUUCUCGGGAACACCCUCCCUCCCUCUCUCUCUCUCUCUCUCGUCUGUCCUUUUCUCUGCCCUUUUAUAUAAUACUCCACCUGUGUGUUUUAAGUUCUAGCUAGAACAAACACUCCAGCUAGUGUUCUUCACUGCACUUGUUUAGCUAGCUGCUCCUUCCCUUUCUUCUUUGUCGGUGUUAAAGAUCAAGAGCAAACGGAGAGAUAAAUCAGAAUGGUUCUCAAGCUGAUCAAGAAGGAGGAGGAUGAAUUGCCUGGCGGGAGAUCAUGCGUGCAUGCUACACAUUCAAUUCUUUUCUCAAGUUUCUUUGGUCCAAAGAAGGACCAUUUGUGAGUGGGGUUUGCUUCUGGGUGCUUUGGUUUCGGUUACGAUCCAUCGAUCGAGAGGCAAACAGGUUAAAAACUCAGCGGCGUACAUGGGAAGGCCAGGCAUUUGACAUGAUCCCUUUUUUUUUUCUUUUUUUUAUCUUUGCUUGUGUUCAUGUUCUUGAUUUUGUUUUCCUUGUCGAGUUAUGGUUUAUAAAAUAUGGGGAAUAGGGAUAAAUAGCUAGCUAUAGAGAGAUGGAGUUCAACUGCUCUUAGAAUCUUGCAAUGAAAGUAAUAAGGUUUGGCUGGUUUCCCAGGUAUCUCUUCCUUGCAAUUUGCAAUCCUUUUUUUGUCAUCCAAUGAUAAAAUAUUAGGGCUACUUUCUGAAUAUAAACAGU